GGUCAAGCGAAUAAGCGCACACGGUGGAUGCCUUGGCGGUCAGAGGCGAUGAAGGACGUGGCAGCCUGCGAAAAGUAUCGGGGAGCUGGCAACAAGCUUUGAUCCGGUAAUGUCCGAAUGGGGAAACCCACCCGCUUGCGGGUAUCCUGCAGUGAAUACAUAGCUGCUGGAAGCGAACCUGGUGAACUGAAAUAUCUAAGUAACCAGAGGAAAAGAAAUCAACCGAGAUUCCGUAAGUAGCGACGAGCGAACGCGGACUAGCCCUUAAGCUGGAUUGGUUCUAGGAAAACGCUCUGGAAAGAGCGGCCAUAGAAGGUGAUAGCCCUGUAUCUGAAAGGGCCAUUCCAGUGAAGACGAGUAGGGCGGGGCACGUGAAACCCUGUCUGAACAUGGGGGGACCAUCCUCCAAGGCUAAAUACUACUGACCGACCGAUAGUGAACCAGUACCGUGAGGGAAAGGCGAAAAGAACCCCGGAGAGGGGAGUGAAAUAGAACCUGAAACCGUGUGCGUACAAGCAGUAGGAGCUCCGCAAGGAGUGACUGCGUACCUUUUGUAUAAUGGGUCAGCGACUUACUGUUCGUGGCAAGCUUAACCGUAUAGGGGAGGCGAAGGGAAACCGAGUCUGAUAAGGGCGCAUAGUCGCGGGCAGUAGACCCGAAACCGGGUGAUCUAGUCAUGCCCAGGGUGAAGGUGCGGUAACACGCACUGGAGGCCCGAACCCACUCCCGUUGCAAAGGUAGGGGAUGAGGUGUGAUUAGGAGUGAAAAGCUAAUCGAACCCGGAGAUAGCUGGUUCUCCUCGAAAGCUAUUUAGGUAGCGCCUCAUAUGUAUCCUCUCGGGGGUAGAGCACUGUUAUGGCUAGGGGGUCAUCGCGACUUACCAAACCAUUGCAAACUCCGAAUACCGAGACGGACUGUAUGGGAGACACACGGCGGGUGCUAACGUCCGUCGUGAAAAGGGAAACAACCCAGACCCACAGCUAAGGUCCCAAAUUUUGUGCUAAGUGGAAAACCAUGUGGAAAGGCACAGACAGCCAGGAGGUUGGCUUAGAAGCAGCCACCCUUUAAAGAAAGCGUAAUAGCUCACUGGUCGAGUCGGUCUGCGGGGAAGAUUUAACGGGGCUAAGCACAGAACCGAAGCUUGGGGUGCAUACUUUGUAUGCGCGGUAGAGGAGCGUUCCGUAAGCCGUUGAAGGUGGAUUGAGAAGUCUGCUGGAGGUAUCGGAAGUGCGAAUGCUGACAUGAGUAACGAUAAUGCGGGUGAAAAACCCGCACGCCGAAAGCCCAAGGUUUCCUUGCGCAACGUUAAUCGGCGCAGGGUGAGUCGGCCCCUAAGGCGAGGACGAAAGUCGUAGUCGAUGGGAAGCAGGUUAAUAUUCCUGCACCUCGCGUAAGUGCGAUGGAGGGACGGAGAAGGUUAGGUGUACCAGGCGUUGGUUGUCCUGGGGAAAGGCGGUAGGUUUGGAUCUUUGGCAAAUCCGGGAUCCUUCAAGACCGAGCACCGAGACGAGCCUUUAAGGCGAAGUCACUGAUACCACGCUUCCAGGAAAAGCUCCUAAGCUUCAGCUUACGCAGACCGUACCGUAAACCGACACAGGUGGGUAGGAUGAGAAUUCUCAGGCGCUUGAGAGAACUCGGGUGAAGGAACUAGGCAACAUGGCACCGUAACUUCGGGAGAAGGUGCACCCUUUUUGGUGGCUCGUGCGAGCUAUAGCUGAAGAGGGUCGCAGUAACCAGGCCGCUGCGACUGUUUAUCAAAAACACAGCACUCUGCAAACACGAAAGUGGACGUAUAGGGUGUGACGCCUGCCCGGUGCUGGAAGGUUAAUUGAUGGGGUCAGCCGCAAGGCGAAGCUCUUGAUCGAAGCCCCAGUAAACGGCGGCCGUAACUAUAACGGUCCUAAGGUAGCGAAAUUCCUUGUCGGGUAAGUUCCGACCUGCACGAAUGGCGUAACGACAGCGGCGCUGUCUCCACCCGAGACUCAGUGAAAUUGAAAUCGCUGUGAAGAUGCAGCGUUCCCGUGGCAAGACGGAAAGACCCCGUGAACCUUUACUAUAGCUUUACACUGAACGUUGAGUUCGUCUGUGUAGGAUAGGUGGGAGGCUAUGAAACUGUGGCGCUAGCUGCAGUGGAGCCAUCCUUGAAAUACCACCCUGUCGUGCUUGACGUUCUAACCUGGGCCCAUUAUCUGGGUCGGGGACCGUGUAUGGUGGGUAGUUUGACUGGGGCGGUCUCCUCCUAAAGAGUAACGGAGGAGCUCGAAGGUACGCUCAGCGCGGUCGGACAUCGCGCACUGUGUGCAAAGGCAUAAGCGUGCUUGACUGCAAGAUCGACGGAUCAAGCAGGUAGGAAACUAGGACUUAGUGAUCCGGUGGUUCUGUAUGGAAGGGCCAUCGCUCAACGGAUAAAAGGUACUCCGGGGAUAACAGGCUGAUACCGCCCAAGAGUUCAUAUCGACGGCGGUGUUUGGCACCUCGAUGUCGGCUCAUCACAUCCUGGGGCUGUAGUCGGUCCCAAGGGUAUGGCUGUUCGCCAUUUAAAGUGGUACGCGAGCUGGGUUCAGAACGUCGUGAGACAGUUCGGUCCCUAUCUGCCAUGGGCGUUGGAGAUUUGAGAGGGGCUGCUCCUAGUACGAGAGGACCGGAGUGGACGAACCUCUGGUGUUCCGGUUGUCACGCCAGUGGCAUUGCCGGGUAGCUAUGUUCGGAAGCGAUAACCGCUGAAAGCAUCUAAGCGGGAAGCGCGCCUCAAGAUGAGAUCUCCCGGGGCACAAGCCCCCUGAAGGAACCAUGUAGACUACGUGGUUGAUAGGUCAGGUGUGUAAGUACAGCAAUGUAUUGAGCUAACUGAUACUAAUGAUCCGAGAGGCUUGACCAU
rnacentral:rRNA from 1 species